GAGCACCGCUGCAGGAGCUGUCCGGGAACCCCGAGGCCCGCGUCGCGGACUACUUCGACAUGGCGGCAGAGUCCGGCGCCAGCGGGUUCUUGGCGGCCGCGCUGUUCGCUCGACGAAAGAAUAAAAAUAAUACGAAGACCAAAUACAACGACGUAUUUGCCUUAUGGCAAAGAAGCCGGCAGCAGUUGGUGGCGCGAUGGACGCUGCGUGGCUGUAUGAGCACACACCAGGCAGCAGGCUCUAGCCGCGGCAGCAGGAAAACGGACGGCAACAUCCUGUCAUACAUGCAGGAUUCUGCAUUUGGAUAAAAGGAGUCCGGUAGAUGUCAACAAAGGAGUGAAAUAAGCAUCUGUACUCUCCUUAUUUUUGUGCAAAUGAAAGGCUUGCGGAGACUAUAUUUCCGUGGCCUAAUGGAACGGAAUCUGAUAAAUCGAUCUUGGUUACCAAUCUGUCCUAUGUAAUUAAUGAAGGACAUGGCAUUGGCAGGAGCUAGCCUACGCACAGUGUGCACGGUGAGCAAAUCCCUCUGUUUCUCAGCUACCAAAUAUUUCUUCUUUUGCUACUGAGUGAAUCAUCAGUUUUGUUUUGUUAUGGCUACAAGCACUCCUGGCAUCAGAAGAUGGCUAUAUUGGCGAAAAAGACUGGUGGUCUGUGUUUCACUUUUGGACAUCUAUGAGGAGUUUGCGGAACCAGUGUGCUAGAAUGUGAUGGUCAAACUCAUCGCUUGUGAUUCAUGCUCGUCGUGAAAGGUGGACAAUGUGACCAUGAGUGGCAACGAGUGCGAUAACCCGGAUGGGUUGCUUGGACCAUGCGAGGAUUUGUUUUCCCCGUUGCAACGCACGGGCAUAUGUGCUAGUCUAUCCCUAAUAAUAAUAAAGCACGGAUUGACUCCGUGGGUUCACCGUCACAAUACGCUUUCUUUCUGUAAAUUUACGCUUUCAGUUUAAAUUUAAGACAUAUACACGAGGUGGUACUAAUACUGCCAUCGAUAUAGAUUCGAUAAAUUACGUUUUUCUACCGUCAUGGGCUUUGCCCCACAUGGGCCGAGAUUGUGAGCAACAACAGCGCAGCGCAAAAAUUAGUUGAUUUUCAUGGGGAUCGAA